AGCUCCAAUAGCGUAUAUUAAAGUUGUUGCGGUUAAAAAGCUCGUAGUUGGAUUUCUGUUGAGGACGGCCGGUCCGCACUAUGUGCGUGUAUCUGGUUCGGCCUCGGCAUCCUCUUGAGGAACGUUUCUGCGCUUGAUUGCGUGGAGCGGUAUUCAAGACUUUUACUUUGAGGAAAUUAGAGUGUUCACGGCAGGCAAGCGCCUUGAAUAUGUUAGCAUGGAAUAAUAAUAUAGGAUCUUGGUUCUAUUUGUUGGUUUCUAGGGCUAAGGUAAUGAUUAAUAGGGAUAAUUGGGGGCAUUUGUAUUAACGCGUCAGAGGUGGAAUUCUUGGAUUUGUUAAAGACGGACUACUGCGAAAGCAUUUGCCAAGGAUGUUUUCA
rnacentral:rRNA from 1 species